GACGAACGCUGGCGGCGUGCCUAAUACAUGCAAGUCGAGCGAAGAUUUUCUGGUGUUUGCACUAGAAAAACUUAGCGGCGAACGGGUGAGUAACACGUAAAGAACCUGCCUCUUUGACUGGGCCAACUAUUGCUAACGAUAGCUAAUACCGGAUAACAGUAUUUCUCGCUUGAGAGAUAUUUAAAUGUUGGUUUUGCUAACGCUAUGAGGUGGCUUUGCGGUGCAUUAGCUUGUUGGUGGGGCAAGGGCCCACCAAGGCGACGAUGCGUAUCCGACAUGAGUGGGUGAUCGGCCGCACUGGGACGUGGACACGGCCCUGGGUCCUACGGGAGGGACCAGUAGGGAAUCUUCCGCAAUGGUCGAAAGCCUUACGGAGCAACGCCGCGUGAGUGAAGAAGGAUUUCGGUUCGUAAUGCUCUGUUGUUAGGUAAGAACGGAUAUGUACUAACGAGACAUGUGAGAGACGGUACCGAACCAGAAAGCCACGGCUAACUACGUG
rnacentral:rRNA from 1 species